rnacentral:rRNA from 1 species
GACGAACGCUGGCGGCGUGCUUAACACAUGCAAGUCGAGCGGUAAGGCCCUUUCGGGGGUACACGAGCGGCGAACGGGUGAGUAACACGUGGGUGACCUGCCCUCAGCUCUGGGAUAAGCCUGGGAAACUGGGUCUAAUACUGGAUAUGACUCCACGGUGCAUGUCGUGGGGUGGAAAGCCUUGUGCGGCUGAGGAUGGGCCCGCGGCCUAUCAGCUUGUUGGUGGGGUGANGGCCUACCAAGGCGACGACGGGUAGCCGGCCUGAGAGGGCGACCGGCCACACUGGGACUGAGACACGGCCCAGACUCCUACGGGAGGCAGCAGUGGGGAAUCUUGCGCAAUGGGCGAAAGCCUGACGCGGCGACGCCGCGUGAGGGAUGACGGCCUGGUGUAA